UUGAACGCUAGCGGGAUGCUUUACACCUGCCAGUCGCACGGCAGCGCGGACUUCGGUCUGGCGGCGAGUGGCGAACGGGUGAGUAAUGUAUCGGAACGUGCCCAGUAGCGGGGGAUAACUACGCGAAAGCGUAGCUAAUACCGCAUACGCCCUACGGGGGAAAGCAGGGGAUCGUAAGACCUUGCACUAUUGGAGCGGCCGAUAUCGGAUUAGCUAGUUGGUGAGGUAACGGCUCACCAAGGCGACGAUCCGUAGCUGGUUUGAGAGGACGACCAGCCACACUGGGACUGAGACACGGCCCAGACUCCUACGGGAGGCAGCAGUGGGGAAUUUUGGACAAUGGGGGCAACCCUGAUCCAGCCAUCCCGCGUGUGCGAUGAAGGCCUUCGGGUUGUAAAGCACUUUUGGCAGGAAAGAAACGUCGCGGGCUAAUACCCCGUGGAACUGACGGUACCUGCAGAAUAAGCACCGGCUAACUACGUG
rnacentral:rRNA from 1 species